rnacentral:rRNA from 1 species
AGUCUGACCUGCCCUCUGAUAUAUUAUAUUGAAUGGCCGCGAUAAUUUGAUCGUGCAAAGGUAGCAUAAUCAUUAGUUUUUUAAUUGAGAACUGGAAUGAAAGGUCGAACGAGAAAAAAACUGUCUCGAUUUAAUUUAAUUAGAAUUUUAUUUUUAAGUAAGAAAGCUUAAAUUUUUUUAAAAGACGAGAAGACCCUAUAGAGUUUUAUAAUUAUAGAUUUAUUUUUUAGUUUAAGAAUUUUAUUUUAAGAUUGAUAAAUAAUUAUUUGAUUGGGGCGAUUGAAAAAUUUAAUGAACUUUUUUUAUAUAAAUACAUUGAUAUAUGAUUAAAUGAUCCAUAAUUUAUGAUUAAAAGAUUAAAUUACCUUAGGGAUAACAGCGUAAUUUUUUUUGAGAGUUCUUAUCGAAAAAAAAGUUUGCGACCUCGAUGUUGGAUUAAAAUAAACUUUUGGUGUAGAAGCUAAAAUAGUUAGGUCUGUUCGACCUUUAAAAUUUUACAUGAUCUGAGUUUAAACCGGUGUAAGCCAGGUUGGUUUCUAUCUUUAA